AUUUAAUAAAAAUUAAAUUUUUUAUAGUAAUUUAAAAUGAAUUUUAUUUCUUUAUAAAAGAAAUUUAUUAAUGUUUUAAACAAAACUUGCGUAAGAAAUUCCUUUUGUAUCAGGAUAAUAUGAUUAUAAUAUUAAUAAUUUUAACGAAACAAGAAGAUUUUAUUAUUUAUUUAAUGUGCCGUUUUACAGGUUGUUUUAUAUUUAGUAAGAAGUGAAAAAUUAUACGGUUCUUGUGAUAUCUUUUUAUUUUUCUAUUAAGUUUAAUUUAAUCUUUAUUAAGUUAAUAAAUUAAGGGACGAGCUUUAAUUUUUGUAUUAUUCGUACAAUAUUAAUUCAUGUAGUCUUUAUAAUGGACACCGUAAGUUUUUAAAAAUUUCUUUUUAAGUCUUAAAAAUUUUUAUUAUAAUAUACUAAUUAGAAAUUAAAUAAAUUAAUAAGUGUUUUGCUAUACUUAUUUGUUAAUUAGUAAUUAUAAUAGUGUGAAUAUAAUCUGUUUGUUUAAAUAAUAAAUUUGAAUUUGGCAUUUUUGUUUUCAAGUGUUUAACAAAAACAUUUCUUUUUGAUUUAAUAUAAAGUAAGACCUGCCCCAUGAUUAGUUUAAUGGCCGCAGUAAUAUGACUGUGCUAAGGUAGCAUAAUAAUUUGUCCUUUCAAUGAGGACUGGAAUGAAAGGUUCUAUGGAAACAAGCUAAUGAUUUUGUUAAUCUAUGAAUUUAAGAUUUUGGUUAAAAUUCCAAAAUAAACCUAAAAGACGAGAAGACCCUGUGGAUCUUUACUGUCACUUAUUCUUUUAUUAUUAAUAUAAGAGUUUAAAAAAUAGUUUGAUUGGGACGAUUCUUUAUUUAUCUGAAGUGUUAUAAAAUAUUUUGAUCCUGCAAAAGGAAUUAAGAUUAAGUUACCCCAGGGAUAACAGCGUAAUAUUACCGGAUAGUUCAUAUUGAUGGUAAUGUUUGCGACCUCGAUGUUGAAUUAAAAUUUCUUUGUGAAGUAGAAGUUACAAGAAGUUAGUCUGUUCGACUAUAAAAAUUUUACAUGAUUUGAGUUCAGACCGGCGUGAGCCAGGUCAGUUUCUAUCUUUAGGUGAUUAGUCAUUUUGUAGUACGAAAGGACCCAAAUUGAUUUUGAU
rnacentral:rRNA from 1 species